UACUCAUGACUACUAAUCUCCCCAACAUGAGUCCACACUCAGUGAACUCCUGUAGGCCUUGGGGGUAUAGACCUUGAAGACAGGAAAACUGAUUAGGAGAUCCCUGCCAUGAAGCAGCACAGAAACCCCUCAAGGACAACAGGACAUCUGGUUUCCCUCUUUAAGGAAGAAAAGAAGAUGUUUUCCUGGAUACCAGAUAUGCUGAGUUGGGACACGAGCUAAGGACAGAGGCUGGAAUGCAGUUGCUGAUCACCUGCAGGCUUGAACUCCAGGGUUCAAG